rnacentral:tRNA from 1 species
GAGGUUGUGGCUCAGUGGUGGAGUGCUUGCCUAGCAUGUGUGAGGCACUGGGUUUGAUCCUCAGCACCACA